rnacentral:lncRNA from 1 species
GGAUAUGGUAAAUAACCUUAUUAAGAAUGUGGUUUAGGAGUUCCCGUCAUGGCGCAGUGGUUAACGAAUCCGACUAGGAACUAUGAGGUUGCGGGUUCGGUCCCUGCCCUUGCUCGGUGGGUUAAGGAUCCGGCGUUGCCGUGAGCUGUGGUGUAGGUUGCAGACUCGGCUCGGACCCUGCGUUGCUGUGGCUCUGGCGUAGGCUGGGGGCUACAGCUCCGAUUCGACCCCUAGCCUGGGAACCUCCAUAUGCUGCGUGAGCGGCCCGAAGAAAUAGCAAAAAGACAAAAAAAAAAAAAAAAGAAUGUGGUUUAAAGAUAAGAGUGUUUGGAGAAGUGGAAUGGAUAUGAUUGGAAGAACAGAAUUUAGAAAUAAUCAGUAUAUUUUUACAACCUCAAAUUCAGACAGAUCAACUGGCAAGGUAAGAAAAUAUGGGGUUUUUAUAUUUUCAUAAAAAAAUAGUCAAGCAAUAUCUUAGAGCCCAUAUACUAAUUGACAGCAAAAUAAUCAUGAAUACUAAGAGGAGCAAUUUGGAGAAAAUUUAUGGGUUUUGGAAGACAUGGAACCUUUCAAAGGAAGCAUUUGCUUCAGGCUGUGAUCUGCUAAUUAAUUUUCAGAAAUGCAACAAGAAACUAAAUAGCCACCUAAGUCUCUUUCUACGUUUAUGAGAAAGAAGCUAGUAUGGAAACAAGAAGCUUAUAGAGGAGAAUUUUUUUCAAGAAAUCAAGUUCUAAAACUAUUUUUAGAGCGACUACCUUUAUAGUCCUACUUCUAGAUCACCUACUUUGGAGUCUCAGGAUUUGGGUUUUUACUGAUAUUAUCAAAUGUUUGCUUCCCUGCAGUAUUAGAAAGUAAAAAGGAAUUGUUUUUACCAAAUUUUUUAAAAAAGCAAUGAUGAAAAUAUGGAUGAUGAUUUCCUUUUUGCAUUUUUCUGAUUUUUAAAAUUUCUAAAACAAUAUAAAUGUAAAAAUGAUCUGUGAAAUACAUCUGUGGUCUUUGCACAUCAUAUUGUAGGUAGCCAUAAUUUUUCAGGGUCUAUAAGAUUGAAUUAAGAUAGUGUAUUGUUUUUGAGUUUUGCGUUGAUAUUUUUGUUUUUACUUAUAACAGUGAUGCUGGAAGUAGCGGUGAACGUGAUAUUGCUGAAGGCUGUUUCCAGGCCCCCUAUGCCUUAAAAACCUCAAUUAAGUCCAAUUUCAUCAAAGAGUUCUUCUGCUCUAAGCAUACUCUUCACCUGGGAGCGAAAGGGACUUCAGAUCUGGAGCUCUUCUUUCUCCCCUUUGGCAUGCACACACGCUACUGUGUCAUCAUCCUCAGCAACAAAAAGGUGAGGACGGAAUUACAUGUGUGCUUUCAUCAAGGGCUGCCACUGUAAUGGAAUAACCAGUAUAGGUCAUUUGACAGCAGCUAAAGACUCUGAGAAUAUAGCUAACAAUUUCAGCCCUCUAGUUGAUAAACAAAGAGCUUAUCCUCAAGAAUAAGCAAAGAUUUAUACUACCUGUCUGCAAAUUUUAUAAUGGCUGGAUAAGGAAGUCCCAUGGGAGCAGAAUGGAGGCAUUCCUAACCUGCCAGUACCUUAUCUAUAUCGUCAUCUAUGGUCAUAUAACAAGUUACCAAAUACUGCUGCUCUUAAAACAAUAUGUAUUUAUCAUGUCACGUUUUCUAUGGAUCACAGGUCUAGGUGGGCCCUCUGGUUUAGGUCUAGCAAGUCUUCAAUUCACUGAUUGGCCAGUGCUGUGUUCUCCUCGGAGGUUAAGCUGAAGAAGUGGCUGCUUCUAAGCUUUCUCAAGUUGUUGGCGGAAUUAAUUUUCUAGCUCUGGGAUCCAUGCAUCUUACUUCUCUAAAGCCAGCGAAGGUGAAAAACAGAAGAGGAGGGAGGGGAGAGGAGGUGGGGGCAGAGAGAGAGAGACAGAGAGAGAGAGAAAGAAAGAAGAGAGGAUUUAGAGGAAAAGUUUUACGGUAUUCUUCUCUUUGAAAAAGACACUGCCAUGUCUUGACCUGAGGGAACUUAUGACCCAUGGGAGAUUGCCCCAAAUGUGUGUUAUGUAUCAAUUAUGCACUAUAUAGAAUGCAUAACAAUGAAAUAAUGGUGAUUGGGAGUUCUCAUCGUGGCUCAGUGGUAACGAACACAACUAGGAUCCAUGAGGAUGUGGGAUCGAUCUCUGGUCUCGGUCAGUGGGGUAAGGAUCUGGCAUUGCCGUGAGCUGUGGUGUAGGUUGCAGGCGUGACUCAGAUCUGGUGUUGCUGUGGCCGUGGUGUAGGCUGGCAGCUGCAGUUCCAAUUAGACCCCUAGCCUGGGAACCUCCACAUGCUGCAAGUGCGGUCCUAAAAAGAAAAAAAAAAAAAAGGAAUUGGAAAGAGGUAUUAUAUUGACUUAUCUGUAGGAUCCUUUACACAUGAAAAAUAGUAUAGCCUAUUAAAUAUGUAAGGAAUAGUUUUACACUGAGAAUUACCAUUUCAGGUGAAAAAUGCUACUUUAUCGUAAUAUCGAACCUUGUUUUUCAUUUCUCUUGAAAGAGUUUAGGUUUUAGCUGAAUUCCUCUAUAUGAAAAUUUGUAAAAAAAAAAAAAAAA